GGAAAUUAAGAAGAUUUUAUGGGGAUAAAUUGGGAAGAGUGGGGUUAAUUUUGGUAUGAGUGGAGGUAUGAGCAUGGGAAUGGGCAUGGUAAAUUAUAGCAUUUGGAUGAGGAUCAAAAUUGGUCAUAAAAUGCUCCUUUUGGUUGUUGUUGUUGUCCACAACCAUUGAAUUAUCAUUAUCCAAUAAAAGCUCUUUUAACAUCUCUGGAAUUGCUUCAUCUUUCAUUAUCUUUUUCCAGUAUUCUCCUUCUUCCUUCUUGCUUCCAUGGCUUACAUCUCCAAACAGGAGAAGAGAAAUUAGGAGAAGGAAGAAAGCAACAGAAAGCUUCAUAUGUGUUUGUCUCGCAACAGAUGAAGGCAGAAG
rnacentral:misc_RNA from 1 species